rnacentral:rRNA from 1 species
GACGAACGCUGGCGGCGUGCCUAAUACAUGCAAGUCGAGCGCAGGAAACUGACGGAACUCUUCGGAGGGAAGGCAGUGGAAUGAGCGGCGGACGGGUGAGUAACACGUAAGGAACCUGCCUCAAGGGUUGGGAUAACUCCGAGAAAUCGGAGCUAAUACCGGAUAGUUCAUCGGACCGCAUGGUCCGUUGAUGAAAGGCGCUUCGGCGUCACCUUGAGAUGGCCUUGCGGUGCAUUAGCUAGUUGGUGGGGUAACGGCCCACCAAGGCGACGAUGCAUAGCCGACCUGAGAGGGUGAUCGGCCACACUGGGACUGAGACACGGCCCAGACUCCUACGGGAGGCAGCAGUAGGGAAUCUUCCACAAUGGACGAAAGUCUGAUGGAGCAACGCCGCGUGAGUGAUGAAGGUUUUCGGAUCGUAAAACUCUGUUGUAAGGGAAGAACACGUACGAGAGGAAAUGCUCGUACCUUGACGGUACCUUACGAGAAAGCCACGGCUAACUACGUGCCAGCCGCCGCAGUAACAC